UACAGAGGGGGCAAGCGUUGUUCGGAGUUACUGGGCGUAAAGGGCGCGUAGGCGGCCUUCUAAGUCGAACGUGAAAUCCCCGGGCUCAACCCGGGAACUGCGUCCGAUACUGGAAGGCUUGAAUCCGGGAGAGGGAUGCGGAAUUCCAGGUGUAGCGGUGAAAUGCGUAGAUAUCUGGAGGAACACCGGUGGCGAAGGCGGCAUCCUGGACCGGCAUUGACGCUGAGGCGCGAAAGCCAGGGGAGCAAACGGG
rnacentral:rRNA from 1 species